rnacentral:rRNA from 1 species
UACGUAGGGUGCGAGCGUUGCCCGGAUUUAUUGGGCGUAAAGGGCGCGUAGGCGGCCACGCACGUCCGUUGUGAAAUCGCCCGGCUCAACUGGGCGGGGUCGGCGGAUACGGCGUGGCUGGAGCAAGCUAGGGGGCAAUGGAAUUCCCGGUGUAGCGGUGGAAUGCGUAGAGAUCGGGAAGAACAUCAGUGGCGAAGGCGGCCUGCUGGGCUGUUGCUGACGCUGAGGCGCGACAGCGUGGGGAGCAAACAGG